rnacentral:misc_RNA from 1 species
AAGGAGUCUAACAUCUACGCGAGUGUUCGGGUGUCAAACCCGUGCGCGAAGUGAAAGCGAACGGAGGUGGGAACCCUCACGGGUGCACCAUCGACCGAUCCUGAAGUCUUCGGAUGGAUUUGAGUAAGAGCGUAGCUGUUGGGACCCGAAAGAUGGUGAACUAUGCCUGAAUAGGGCGAAGCCAGAGGAAACUCUGGUGGAGGCUCGUAGAGAUACUGACGUGCAAAUCGUUCUUCGAACUUGGGUAUAGGGGCGAAAGACUAAUCGAACCAUCUAGUAGCUGGUUCCCUC